AUUGAACGCUGGCGGCAUGCCUUACACAUGCAAGUCGAACGGUAGCGGGCCUUCGGGUGCCGACGAGUGGCGAACGGGUGAGUAAUGUAUCGGAACGUACCUUUCAGUGGGGGAUAACGUAGCGAAAGUUGCGCUAAUACCGCAUAUUCUGUGCGCAGGAAAGCAGGGGAUCGCAAGACCUUGCGCUGAUUGAGCGGCCGAUAUCAGAUUAGCUAGUUGGUGAGGUAAGGGCUCACCAAGGCGACGAUCUGUAGCGGGUCUGAGAGGAUGAUCCGCCACACUGGAACUGAGACACGGUCCAGACUCCUACGGGAGGCAGCAGUGGGGAAUUUUGGACAAUGGGCGCAAGCCUGAUCCAGCCAUGCCGCGUGAGUGAAGAAGGCCUUCGGGUUGUAAAGCUCUUUCGGCCAGGAAGAAAUCGUAUGGGUUAAUACCCUGUGCGGAUGACGGUACCGGCAUAAGAAGCACCGGCUAACUACGUGCCAGCAGCCGCGGUAAGAC
rnacentral:rRNA from 1 species